UCUCUUCAUCUGUAAGCCACCAUUCUUUAAUUUUUCACUUUCUUUGAAGAGAAGAUGGAGACCACGACCACCACUCCAUGGAAAAUCUCGACGAUCAGGUCUUUUUUGGGUUCUACGAUGAUGACCCAACAACGAAGAACGGAGCUCGAAGGUUCUCUUCGGCGUCAGAACCUCCACGAACCAGGUAACCUACUCUUAAUCCCACUAAUUUCCUCGAGAUUUAUACUAGAGAAGAACGAUACCUUCGAAAAGGAGGCCCCUUAUUUUGCUUCGUGUUUCGCCUCUGCUAAUCCCGUUUAUCUCUAUUUGUCUCUCUUGUCCGAUGCUCUCCUUUCUCUGAUUUUCAAUUCUUCAAAUGAUUUUUUGUCUUGGUUUUUGGAUCUAAAUGGAUUUCCAUUUUAGAGUGGUUCCUUGCUGAUUUUUGGUUGCCCUCCUUUUUGUAUUAUCUCCUCUUUCUUUUUCAUUUGCUGAAUGAUCUCCCCCUCUUUUAAAAGCUCUUAUUUUUUGGUAUCUGAAAACCCUCUCCCUUUUUGAUGGAUGAAUCCUCUUAUUAAACGACCCCUCGCGAGGAUACUACCCAGCACUAGAGAGGGUUGUAUGGCCUCUGCAACAAACGGUCUGGCAGAGGGUACCAAAGGGGGGCCUCUAAUUGAUGAUAAUGUUAUUUAUGUUCUUCUUUUCCAUAUGCUUGUGUUUUCGAGUUCUAAAUGCAGCUUGUGAUAAUCAUGCCCUCUAUUGGAUUGAGGAUAUCUUUCUUCGUUUCUUGGACUGGUGUGAUGAACAUGGAGAGUAUAUUUGAUGAUCUUUGCUGUUUUUUCCCCAUAAAAUAUUUCACAAAUAGUGAAGCUAAGGGUGUACUAAUACAUUUGUAUCUGUCCUUGUCUGUGUUCUGCCCCUGGUUAUCCCCAAAUUAUGUCGGUCCACUUGAAAACCAAUCUAUUAAUUACUAAAAGAUUUCAGUUGUUCGAGUUCUAUUUGAUACCUUGAUUUAAAAUUGAAAUAUUCACCAAUGAAGUUGAAUCUGAGCAAUCUGUUAUUCCCCCUUGAGCAUGAGAAGCUGCUUGAGAGAGAUUUCAAGAUUUCACCUUCAAAUCCGAAUAAUAUGGAGAUGCCUGCACUAGAAGUUGCAAACUCGGAAACACAAAGAUGAUCAUAACGACAAAAACAUCCAACAACUGGAACCUUGGACAUGGCAGCUAGCGAAUGUCAUGUCUUAGGGGAAAUGUGCAGGCAGCAUCGCUGUGGAUAGACUUAAGUUGCUCGAUUGAGUAUCCUUUUCUGUAGAUAUUCUGUCGGAAUCGCCGACCUAACUGCCAGGUCGUUCCGGGUUUAAUAGCAGCACUCAAAUUGUUUUAUACAGUUUUGCCUUGUGCAUAUGGUGAUGGCUUUUUGGUGGGACAGUACGUAUAUCCCAAAAUUAAAGCCGUAAAAUCAAGUAAUCGGACAGGUUUCAGUCAGAUCUUGUUAAGUUGAGUAAAAUCAGGUACAAGUUAAGUUAGGUCAAUUUGAUGGUUUGACUCGGAUCAAGUCGGGUACAAGUUAAAUCAGUUCGGGUCAUUUUCAGGUUAAUUUGACAUCAGAUUUAGAUUGGGUUCAAGUCAAGUCAUUUACAGUUCAGAUCGAUGUCAGUUCAGAUCAAAACAAUUUAGGUCCGAAGCAGAUAAAGAUUAGGUUAAUUUAGGUUUAGGUGGGUUUCAAUCGGAUCUCGUUCAAAUUAGGUCACAUCAUUAAUAGAUAAAAUUUAGGUCAGAUGUUUAUCGAAUACGGAUUGAGUUCA